CCCUUACAUCAGCAAGUUGUGGUACUCGUUUCCAAGAUACCACAAUAUAAACUUUAAAAUACACAGAGGCUUGGCAGCCGUUACCGUCAGGGACACUCCCACCAGAUCUCAGAGCUGAUUAAAUGAAUAUUCAAACGUAGAGGAGGCUGUGACUGGCAAGCGAUGCUGACAGUUGGACGUGCAUCCACCUCUGGCAGCAGGAAGCUGUUCACACUUCAACGCAUUUCGCCCACAAUACCAGGCUUUCUCAAUAUAGUGUAACAGUUCCUUGGGGCAUGCUUAUAUAUGCUCCUGUCUAGUUAAUUAGUAAAACGUCUAUUUGUUUAAUUAUUCAAUAAAGGGUGUUGUCUAUAUCUGAACAUUCUUGGUCCACAGACAAAACACAAUUA